UACAGGGGGGGCAAGCGUUGUUCGGAAUUACUGGGCGUAAAGGGUUCGUAGGUGGCUUGCUAAGUCACACGUGAAAUCCCUCAGCUUAACUGGGGAACUGCGUGUGAAACUGGCGAGCUUGAGGGUAGGAGAGGAAUGCGGAAUUCCAGGUGUAGCGGUGAAAUGCGUAGAUAUCUGGAGGAACACCGGUGGCGAAGGCGGCAUUCUGGACUAUUUCUGACACUGAUGAACGAAAGCCAGGGGAGCAAACGGG
rnacentral:rRNA from 1 species